UUCGGGGUACUCGAGCGGCGAACGGGUGAGUAACACGUGAGCAACCUGCCCCAGGCUUUGGGAUAACCCCGGGAAACCGGGGCUAAUACCGAAUAUGACCUCUGACCGCAUGGUUGGUGGUGGAAAGUUUUUCGGCUUGGGAUGGGCUCGCGGCCUAUCAGCUUGUUGGUGGGGUGAUGGCCUACCAAGGCGACGACGGGUAGCCGGCCUGAGAGGGCGACCGGCCACACUGGGACUGAGACACGGCCCAGACUCCUACGGGAGGCAGCAGUGGGGAAUAUUGCACAAUGGGCGGAAGCCUGAUGCAGCGACGCCGCGUGAGGGAUGACGGCCUUCGGGUUGUAAACCUCUUUCAGCAGGGACGAAGCGUAAGUGACGGUACCUGCAGAAGAAGCGCCGGCCAACUACGUGCCAGCAGCCGCGGUAAGACGUAGGGCGCGAGCGUUGUCCGGAUUUAUUGGGCGUAAAGAGCUCGUAGGCGGCUUGUCGCGUCGACCGUGAAAACUUGGGGCUCAACCCCAAGCCUGCGGUCGAUACGGGCAGGCUAGAGUUCGGUAGGGGAGACUGGAAUUCCUGGUGUAGCGGUGAAAUGCGCAGAUAUCAGGAGGAACACCGGUGGCGAAGGCGGGUCUCUGGGCCGAUACUGACGCUGAGGAGCGAAAGCGUGGGGAGCGAACAGGAUUAGAUA
rnacentral:rRNA from 1 species